AGAACAUGCCCACGGUGAACUCGCCAGCAUCUCGCCACAUACAUAUAUACAUUCAACUUUUUCUUCAUUGACGCUGUCACAUAUAAGCAGCAUAUACAAAGGAUAAUGAGCAAGAAAUCUCAGUGUAUAACCACUAGACUCAUCCUCAAUGAAGGAAAACAAAACUCAAGCAAAGCUUCAUUGACAGGAGACAGUAAACAAGUUACUCUCGAUCAAAACCUAACCUGCAAUGUUCGCUGUUCUAUUUCGAGAAUAUAAUCAAACCUGUGGUAAGCACUUCAGUCAAAGGAUCUAGCUGCAGCUGUGAAACAACGAUUCACAUCCGAAUUAUCAUCAGGACAAGCUCAAGUCACCAACAGAUCCUCAAUUGGAGGCUAAUUUCAAAUAAAUCACAACAAAAUUUCUCAGCCUCAGCUUUAUACAGAGAACAUCAGAACAUAGAAUUUGAGUCUAUGCUCAUCAUACCUUCGAGUUUCAGUUUUGGAAGAGAGCAAAUCGAAGAACAGAGUUCCUAGAUAUGUCAAUGAUGGAGAUCAAAGAAUAGAGUUCCAAACAGAUUAAUCUACUAAGAGUAAACUCUAUCAAAGGUGUUCACUAAAAUCCCUAAACUAAAUGCAUACUAACCAAAUGAAACUAAGCUAAAUCUAGCACUGGAUUUUUUAUUUUUUUUAUCGGUCGUCUUAUUUCUACUUUAUAAGUCACUGUGUGUACUUUGUGUAGGUUAUGAAACCCUAGUCUUUCUCACAUGUCCCUACCCCUCAGCUCCUGAGAAAAGGAGGGAAUCAAACUCAACACCUCCCCCUUUUCAAGUGAGAAAUGUGUCUACCGGACUAACCCCUAGUAGUUAAAUCUAGCACUAAACAUAACAACCUAAUCAAGAUCUCUAUCUCUAGCUAUUAUACAAUUUUUUAAUUUAUCGAAUUUUU
rnacentral:lncRNA from 1 species